UGUUCUGUGGCCUUAUUGUUUAAAACGCCGGUCUAGCGAAUACGGAGUCGUGGGUUCGAAUCCCACCAGAACGC
rnacentral:tRNA from 1 species